AUUGAACGCUGGCGGCAUGCUUUACACAUGCAAGUCGAACGGUAACAGGCCGCAAGGUGCUGACGAGUGGCGAACGGGUGAGUAAUGCAUCGGAACGUGCCCAGUCGUGGGGGAUAACUACUCGAAAGAGUAGCUAAUACCGCAUACGAUCUAUGGAUGAAAGCGGGGGACCGUAAGGCCUCGCGCGAUUGGAGCGGCCGAUGUCAGAUUAGGUAGUUGGUGGGGUAAAGGCUCACCAAGCCAACGAUCUGUAGCUGGUCUGAGAGGACGACCAGCCACACUGGGACUGAGACACGGCCCAGACUCCUACGGGAGGCAGCAGUGGGGAAUUUUGGACAAUGGGCGCAAGCCUGAUCCAGCAAUGCCGCGUGCAGGAAGAAGGCCUUCGGGUAGUAAACUGCUUUUGUACGGAACGAAACGGCUCUGGUUAAUACCCGGGGCUAAUGACGGUACCGUAAGAAUAAGCACCGGCUAACUACGUG
rnacentral:rRNA from 1 species